rnacentral:rRNA from 1 species
CCCGAAGUAUCCUGAAUCUUUCGCAUUGUUAAUCAUACAAGUGCAUAUAAUAAACACAAAAAUCGAUGAUAGUCAUGCCAUUAUAUAAUUUCGAAAAAUUAACGCACUGUAAUCUUAUAAAUCUAUCAGCACUUUAUCAAAGUUACAACUUUUAUUUUAUGUUAAAAUGCAAGCACUUUAAUUUAAAUAAACAAUGAUGCCAUAUUUUUCUGAUAAAUUGAUAUGCUAAUAGAUUACAAUGUCCUUAUAUGGAAAAAAUGCACACUAUUAUCAUAAUAUUGUUAAAAUAUUACAAUUCUAAUGAUGAAUUUUCCAUAACGGAUAUUCAGGUUCAUCGGGC